rnacentral:misc_RNA from 1 species
AAAAACUCAUUCAAGACUCGAGAAUUAUACAAGAAAAAUAUGACAUCUGUUAAGGAUCUGCAAACUAAUAUCCCUUUCCUCAUUACUCUGAUCCGCACAAGAAACUUGAGCAAUAACAUCCAGAUAGUCAAAAUAGUUCUAAGUGAUGGAUUAGCCAUUUCACAAUGAAGGCCAGUCUUUACAUUAAAGAUUUAAUACAUAUUAUAGAAAUUCAUGCAUAUCUGGGGUUCAAUUUUACAAAAAAAUUUGAACUCCCAUGUGCAUCGGACAAUUUUGCUUAGACCUUGCUCUGCAGAAAAUAAAACUAGUUAAAAUUUGCAUAUCUUUCUAAUCAAAGUUAACUUCAGUCUAGGAGCCUACUUGAAUCUCACUUAAAGCAGCUUCAUCCAUCUGAUCUUGUCUAAGAGUGAAAGGGAAUGGAGGCCUAUCUACAGAAAGUGUACCUUCUAAUACCUUAACCACUUCAACAAUAGUAGGUCGCAGAAAUGGUUGAUUUUGCAUGCACCACAAGGCAAUCCCAAUUACUCUUGAUAUUCCUUCAGAAUCCGUGCAAUCCUCCAAGUUCAUUUUUUCAUUCAUACUGUCAGUUAAAUGUUGCAGACUGUUACUCAAAAUAUCUCUUCUAUGUGUCACAAUUUGCAACAGCAUCUCCCCAAACAUGUAGAUAUCUCUCUCUGCCGGCGACUCCGAGGAGGAAGCUGCCUCCUUUUGGAUUAAGCUUCCAAGUCCAAAAUCAGUGAGCUUAGGGGCCAACUUCUCAUCAAGCAAGACAUUUUCGAGCUUAAAGUUCCCAUGAGCUACGCAUACCUGACACUCUGAAUGCAAAUAAGCAAGGGCUCUUGCAACUCCAACAGCAAUGUCAAACCUCUGUUGCCAAUUCCCAUCAUUCUGGCCUUGCUCCAUGUUGAAGAGCCAAUUAUCUAGAGAGCCACUGUGAACAUAGUCGUAUAAUAAAAACCUAUGAUUCGCCUCAAAACAGAAACCCUUUAAUGACACAAGAUUCCGGUGGUGCAUUCCCCCUAAGUUAGAGACUGCCACUCGGAAAUCCUUCUCAUUUGCAGUUGCAUCAUUCAGCUUCUUAGCAAUAACUGGCCUUUUGUUGGGAAGUACACCCUUAAAAACAGUGGGGCCAAGUUGAUCUGCAAAAUUGCCAGUUAGCUCUUUUAUCUCUUCAAAGGAUAACCCGACAAGUACACUGUAAUGAGCAUUCAUUUGAGCAUCCUUGCUAAAGGGAAUUCUUGCCUGAGCCUUAAUUUUCCGUCUACGGUACACAAACCAAAACACAAAUGUCUCAAAGGUCAGCAAACCUGAGACUGUAACCAAAACUAUCAAGGCAACAGCGCCCACAAACUUCUUGUUGUCACCUUCACGGUCAAUGAAUCCUUUAGACAAUGUAGGAAUUGGCUUGGGGUUAAAAUGAGGAUCAGAUUGUUGAGCUGAAACAGCCUGAGGGACCAAACACACUUUUAAGAAUGAAGUAGCAGGAACAGAAGGGUUCCUAUACCCACUAAUAAAGCUAGUUCGUUUGAUUGUAGAUAUACCUGAACCAUCAUUUUUUGAAGUUGCUGCAAUGCAGGUAGGGUCAUUAGAGCAGUAUUCUUUGCACUUUUUCUCAUUUAGCAUCAUAUGAACAUCUUGAGGUGGAUAAAGCCCAUAUAAAACUGACUGCUUCAUAUCCACCAUGCUUGUAUUCAUCUUGCAGUUGCUCAAAUCCACCAUCUUCUUGCAUCCAAAACCACCUGAAUCCAUUGUGACAAAGGAAGCUCCCCAGUUCGAUGAAUCCUGGUAAAGACAAUCACAGACAGGUCCUGUUGAAUUAAACCCGCAUAAUCCAUACAAACCACAAGAACCAAACACAUCACAUUGGUUCCCAACUGCUUGCCACGCUAUUUUCCAUUCAUGAAGCACAUUGUCCCAUGAAUAUAUUCUCAAGUUCCCGUCAGAAUCCAUCCUAAGAUGCCUCAAAGUGACAGAAGGGUCUUUGAAAUCAUUGCUUGAUGUCGACCAAACAGUUCUAUUAGUACCAUCUAUUAGCCUCAAAAACCCAUCAGCAUCAAAUCUUGCUUCCUUAAUAGUAAUACUACUAGAAAAGCUCAAAUGACUCCUCCAAUAUGUCACAUUGUUCUCCCACACAAGGGCAAGCUCUCCAGAGCGCCGAAUCACAAAGUUAUAGUAACUAGAAAUUGACUUCGUUGAAGGAGCUCUUAGUGUUUGAGGAAAAAGCAGAGACUGGCCAGGAAGGAGAGUGCUCGUUGGGCUAUGAAAACUUUCCCACAGCACUCUAUCUCCAUUGCCCACAAGAACUAAGUUCCCAUUAUUUAAAAGAGUAGCCUUUUUAACACCUAAACUAGAAGUGCUACUGCUCCAAACAAUUAAACCACUAGGGUUUUCAAACAAAAUCAGCCUUCCAUCCAUAGAAAGUUUGAUUGUGGAGUUCAUAGACACUCUAAGACCACCACCAACAGCCCAUACAGGUAUAUUUACAGUUUUAUCCCCUAAAUUAUACCUGACACCCACAAGAAAUCCAUCAUCAUCUUUCUGACAACACUCCAAGAAUCCAAAUGCGAAGACCCCAUUUUGAGACACCCAAGUCCUAGUUCUAUCAAACCCAGAAAUCUCAAAACCAAGAGGCGCUGAUACCAUAGCCGGCUCAUCACAAAAGCCACAAGAAACAAAACACAGAGACAAAACAACAGCCAAAACAGAGCUAAACCGGAAUCGGUUUGGCUUACCUUGAAAAUGCUUGAUGGGUAUCUCAAAAUCCGGCUCUCUAGGCGAGGCCACCCACAUUUCAGCCGCAAAAGCUUAGAACGCAGUCUCACAAGGUCGCAGCAGUUAGGUACUCAGGUGGGUUAGAAGUGUCUGAAUUUGAAUCUUGAAUAGUCAUCAUCAACCUACAGCUUUUUGUGGACUUUAGAGAUUUCUGUAGCGUUUUCUGUCACCAUAUGUUUGCUUUGCUGCUUCUGAAG